rnacentral:lncRNA from 1 species
GCCUGCUAGGCUUUGUAGUGUAUAUUUUGUGAAUGAAAUGAAAAGGAGAUUUUGUGUUACCUCAUCCACGUAUUGCAUUAAAUCAUCGUCCGCUGAACUUCUUUUGUCUCUUGACUUGUUCGACGUCGGUGUCGUUCAGAGGUGCCCAGUCGUUGCCACGUUGAUUUGCUUUUCUUGUCGUCCAUGGCCGUAGGCUCGAGCU